rnacentral:rRNA from 1 species
UGGGGAAUAUUGCACAAUGGGGGAAACCCUGAUGCAGUAACGCCGCGUGCGGGAUGACGGCCUUCGGGUUGUAAACCGCUUUCAGCCAUGACGAAGCUUUUGUGACGGUAGUGGCAGAAGAAGCACCGGCUAACUACGUGCCAGCAGCCGCGGUGAUACGUAGGGUGCGAGCGUUGUCCGGAAUUAUUGGGCGUAAAGAGCUUGUAGGCGGUUUGUCGCGUCGAAAGUGUAAACUCAGUGCUUAACGCUGAGCCUGCUUUCGAUACGGGCUGACUAGAGGAAGGUAGGGGAGGAUAGAAGUCCCGGUGGAGCGGUGGAAUGCGCAGAUAUCGGGAGGAACACCAGUGGCGAAGGCGGUUCUCUGGACCUUUCCUGACGCUGAGAAGCGAAAGCGUGGGUAGCAAACAGG